UACGUAGGCAGCGAGCGUUGUUCGGAGUUACUGGGCGUAAAGGGUGUGUAGGCGGUUGUUUAAGUUUGGUGUGAAAUCUCCCGGCUCAACUGGGAGGGUGCGCCGAAUACUGAAUGACUUGGAGUGCGGGAGAGGUGAGUGGAAUUCCUGGUGCAGCGGUGAAAUGCGUAGAUAUUGGGAGGAACACCAGUGGCGAAGGCGGCUCACUGGACCGGAACUGACGCUGAGGCGCGAAAGCGUGGGGAGCGAACAGG
rnacentral:rRNA from 1 species